GAUCUCCAUUGCAGCUGGCAGGUUAUUUUUGCCAUGGCUUUACUAAAUAUGGUCAGAGAGGGAAACGGCAUUAGAAGAGGCCACUUGCCGGUGCCUCAUAUGCUCAGCUGUGUAUAUAAGGACUUGAAAUGUGGAUUUCCCUUCCUGAUGUGGUUUUUUUUUUUUCUUUUUUAAAUUCUCAUUUUGCUACUGGACAUGCCAGACCCACCCACUGCAAUUCCCAUCACGUUUAGACGAGACCUUCACCUUUUCUCCUGGGUCAUUUUGCUUCUUUAGAUCAUUUGUGAUUUCCUAUUCAUAAGAAUGAAGACUGAUCUGAAGGCGAAAGCUGUAAUGGCAGUGCGGCGAUGGAACUGGAAAAUGUUCAGAUGCCCGGAAUGAGCUUGUCUAUGGGAAACAUAACGGGCACUGCCAGUAAGUGACUUAGGAAAUGGGACGUCACCAGGCAGAAGUGGAACCACAGAGUUACAGUCGCAGAUCACCCCACAAUCAAGUGUCAGUGUCCAGUGGCUUCACCAGAGCUCACAGAGACAGCUGGAGGGCCACCAGGAAGAGAAGAAAAUGAUUUAAAAUAAACAUGUGAUGCUUGACAGAACCAGCAUUCAGGUAAGCACUAAACUAAACUAAAAUGUGGAUGACAAGUAUCAUACAGUUGUCACAGUAAUACAAUGGUCAGCACUGAUAAUGCUCAACUAGGAUAUCUGCCCAACUAGUCACACUGAUUCCAUCGACCAGUUAUUCACGUUGCUUCCCGGAAAAGCCUACCGCCCCAUGAUUACAUAGUAAUUUGACUUCUUCUGUAAAGUAAUUCUGCAUUGUGGGUAAAAAUGAUUAACUGCUUAUUUUUGUAAACCAUGCACUCGCUAUGUUAAUGAGCCCAUUAAUCUCUGAACAAGAUCAAAUUUAGAUGCAGUGUUGCACC